CUCGGAAACGGGUGCUAAUGCCGGAUAGGCAACUGGUAGGCAUCUACCGGUUGGGAAAGGUGCAACUGCACCGCAGAUGGAGGAGCCCGCGGCGCAUUAGCUAGUUGGUGGGGUAACGGCCUACCAAGGCGACGAUGCGUAGCCGACCUGAGAGGGUGGACGGCCACACUGGGACUGAGACACGGCCCAGACUCCUACGGGAGGCAGCAGUAGGGAAUCUUCCGCAAUGGGCGCAAGCCUGACGGAGCAACGCCGCGUGAGCGAAGAAGGCCUUCGGGUUGUAAAGCUCAGUCACUCGGGAAGAGCGGACAGGGAGUGGAAAGCCCUGUCGAGACGGUACCGAGAGAGGAAGCCCCGGCUAACUACGUG
rnacentral:rRNA from 1 species